rnacentral:lncRNA from 7 species
AUGCCCGAAGUUUCUACUACCAUACUUAAAGAGUCACCAAAGCAGGAAAUGGAGAAAAGUCUGAAGUGCUUCAUGCCACUGCUCAGUUUGCCAGUGUCCACUGCAAAGAUGAGAUCCCUCCUGGAGACUGUCGCACCACUCUGCACUCACACGACAUCCAUGGGAACUGGCGAGCACCAACAAAGAUUGUGCAGAGGUAUUUCAUACUUCUCCCUGCUUGUGAGCUUCUGGGCUGUUAUGUUUUGUUCUGUUUUCCUUUUAUGUUCUUUUAAUAAAUCCCUAGGCCUUUCAUCACUAAUGCAGCACUAG